ACGUGGGCAAUCUGCCCUGCACUCUGGGACAAGCCCUGGAAACGGGGUCUAAUACCGGAUACGACACGGGAUCGCAUGAUCUCCGUGUGGAAAGCUCCGGCGGUGCAGGAUGAGCCCGCGGCCUAUCAGCUUGUUGGUGGGGUAAUGGCCUACCAAGGCGACGACGGGUAGCCGGCCUGAGAGGGCGACCGGCCACACUGGGACUGAGACACGGCCCAGACUCCUACGGGAGGCAGCAGUGGGGAAUAUUGCACAAUGGGCGCAAGCCUGAUGCAGCGACGCCGCGUGAGGGAUGACGGCCUUCGGGUUGUAAACCUCUUUCAGCAGGGAAGAAGCGCAAGUGACGGUACCUGCAGAAGAAGCGCCGGCUAACUACGUGCCAGCAGCCGCGGUAAUACGUAGGGCGCAAGCGUUGUCCGGAAUUAUUGGGCGUAAAGAGCUCGUAGGCGGCUUGUCACGUCGGAUGUGAAAGCCCGGGGCUUAACCCCGGGUCUGCAUUCGAUACGGGCAGGCUAGAGUUCGGUAGGGGAGAUCGGAAUUCCUGGUGUAGCGGUGAAAUGCGCAGAUAUCAGGAGGAACACCGGUGGCGAAGGCGGAUCUCUGGGCCGAUACUGACGCUGAGGAGCGAAAGCGUGGGGAGCGAACAGGAUUAGAUACCCU
rnacentral:rRNA from 1 species